ACUCGCUCUUCCCGCUUUAUAAUUAUGAUUCAAAUGAGACUCAACUCACAUUUUUAGUAUAAUUUUGACUCAGCUGAGACUCAUCUCAUAUUUUCAGUAUAAUUCUGACUCAGCCGAUACUCAAAUUACAUUUUCGACUGAUAACUAGCUCUGAUAUCAAUUAUAAUACCCCACUUCUCAAGGGCCACCUAUUUUAUGACUAUUCUAACUCUAGCACGCCUAACUCUCUUAAUUAUUUGGAUCUAAUCAUCGUCUAAAAUACUAUAAUCAGGUUAAAAAUUUUAGCUCUAUUAUAUCUUAUAUAUAGAAUAUAAGGUCUCACAUAAAUGAUUUUAAAAUAAAUUUAAAAAUUUUGAACAAUAGUAAAGGGUAAAUAAGGAAAAGGACAUAAAAUCAUGUCUGGGCUCCUUAUUACUUUGUGCAAGCGUGUUUUGUGGGCAAAAAUUGCAUGGACAUAGUGUCCAAAUUAGCAUCUUUGGGGACGCUCUUGUUGGGCACCACGUGGCUCGCAGACACCCAUCCCACCGUCCCUCUUCCUUCCUCUACUUCUUUCUCUCUAAAAAAAUCAUUUUUUUUAAAAAAAAAGGGACGGUGAGAUGGAUGCUUGCGAGCCACGUGGCGCCUAUUCGAAACAUCCCAAAAAAUGUUAAUGUGGACACUAUAUCCACACAAUUUUUGCCCGCUUCAAAGCAUGGGUCAAAAUAUUAAAUUGACUCAAAGAGAGAGAGAGAGAGAGAGAGAGAGAGAUACAUCACACAUUCACAUGCAGAAAAAUAUAAAAGAAAAACUUCAAAUAUCACUCCUGUAAUUUCGUAUUUACUUACUUAGUAUCUUGUAAUUUAAAGUGUAUCAAGUUAGUGUUAUAUGAUUUCAUUUUUCUCUUUUUAUUAUCCAUUUCACUAAUUUUUUUUCAUUAAACCAGUAACAAAAUUAAAACUAAAGGAUACUAAAAUGAAUAUCGAUAAAGCUAGGUGGAGUAUCCGAAGUUUUUUUUGCAUAUAAUUUAACAAACUAUUAACGGAGGAACUGACGAAAAGAAAAAAAUAAAAUUAGAUGACACUAACUUGAUACACUUUAAACCAUAUGAUACUAAAAUGAGAAAGUGCAAAACUACAGAGGUGAUAUUUAAAAUUUACCCGAAUAUAAAUAUAUUAUUUAAAAUGCAGUUGUUAGUAAAAAGCAAAAUUUGUGGUGGUACUAUUGCAGAUCAAAAGGCUGAACAUGGAAAAGUAUGCAGUAUUCAUAUGCUUCUCAGAUCAGUAAGAUAAAUUUUGGGAGAGUUGGAAGAGAAUAAGAUAAAUUUUGUGUUGUAGUACCUACAAGACGGAUUCGGCUUUCAGCGUGAUCAAAGGCAAAUAGAUCAAAUGUGAAAAUAUGCUUACAUGCUUUUCAAUGGAACUACAAAAAUCAUAUCAUAUCUUUAAAACUGAAUUAGCCUAGAUGUUAUGUAAACUGAACUAUCCUUAACUAACAGGAAAGAUACAUGAAUCAAGCUCAGAACCUCUUAAAACAGAAGGGAAUGAAGAAUGACUCAGAAUACUGUAUUAUCCACCAAAUUAAUAUAUAUAUAUAUAUAUAUAUAUAUAUAUAUAUAUAUAUAUAUAUAUAUAUAUAUAUAUACAUAAUUUAUUUUUAUUUAUUUAUACAAUAUAUAAAAUAUUUAAUAAUUUUUAUUUCAUAGAUCUUCAUCCAACGGUAUAGAUUUUUAAAACCCGCUGGGUUCAGGUUCGGGUUUCGAGUUUUUGGUCGGAUAUGGAUAUGGGUAUGAAUUUUUAAAAUCCGUCGGGUUCGGUUCCGGGUUUGAAUUUUAAUUUGAUUUUCGGGUUCGGGUACGGAUUUUUGAAAAAGAGAAGAAAAGGAAUACAAAUUUCCUAUUCCUCUUUUCAAUAUACAAAAAAUACGUAUUAAACACGGUGAACCAUUCACCGUGUUUAGACACGGUGAAUGGUUCACCAUGUUUAACUUUACUACCGCCCCCAGCCCUACUCGCGUGGUGCUGACGUGGCGCCUGCGUCGCAGGUCUAUGGCCAUUUUUGCAAAUUAAAUUUUGACAGGGCUAUUUUUAAAAUAAAAAUUUGCUAAGGGGCUAAAUGCAAAAAAAGCCCGCUAUUCCUGCUGUCUCCUUUGGAAUCAUUGGUGUGCAAUAAAUUCCUACUGUAAUUACCAUUUUACCGUUUGGCUUAGGUUUUGAAAAAAAAAGUUCUGCAGUAGAGUUAAUUUUGAUUUAGAGAACUCAUUUUGAUUAAAAUCUAUCAAGCGUUUGAUUGAAUUUAAAUAAAAGUAAUUUUUCUGAAGUGAUUUCGUAAAACUGUUUGGUAAAAUAUUUUUAAUAUUUACAAAUAAUAAUUUUUUACUAAAUUUUAUUUUAAAAUAAUUUAAAUUUUGAAUUUAGAUUUAAAUUUUAGAUUUAAAAAUUUUAAAUUUGCCAAAAAUUUAAAAAAUUUUGAUAUUUUAAUUAAAAAUAUAAGUUUGAAAUUUAAAAUUUUUAAAUUUAAAAUUUGAAUUCUUAAAUUCAAAUUUUAAAACUUAAAUUUAAAUCAAAAUGUAAAAUAUAAGAUUUAAAACAUAAAAUUUGAGAAAUUAAAAUUUAAAAUUUAAAAAAUUUAAAACUUAAAAUUCAAAAUUUAAAAGUCGAAAUUAAAAUUUAAAAUUUGAAUCUAAAAUCCAAAUAAAAAUUUAAAAUUUUGAGUUCAAAAUCAGAAUCAGAUUUCAAGAAGCAAGUUUUAGCUGCUUCUGAUUUUGGGUUUCGAAAAUUAGAAAAUUGAUUGUAAAAAUCAAAAUCAAUUUUUAAAAAUAAGAUUACCAAACGCUCUAUUAACUCAAAAAUCACUUCUGAACCCAAAAUCACUUUUCAGAAGUUAGGCCAAAUACCCACUAUAGUUGAUUCCAAUAUAUGUACUUCUAAAUAAGAUUAAGUAUAUGUGGCAAUUGAUCUGUACAUAAAGUAGUGAUUUAUACAUUGGUUCUUAGCAUUAGUCUGAUAUUCAUCCUACGUGACAUAUUUACCUUCUCAUUAAUUUGUCAACGCAGAGGAUUGGAACUCAAAACCCUUGUAUUAUAAUAGAAGUAUUUAAAAUUAACUCAAGUACUAUAUUAUUUAUAAAAUUGAUCAAAUAAAAAACUGACAAAAAAAUAUAGUUAACACCCGAAACACACAAACCAAAUAGAUUAUCUAUCAAUUUUUUUACAGCACUAGUAAAAGAUAAUAUUUCUCCUUAAUAAUUUUCAAACAUCCCUUCAAAUAUUUUCAAACCUCUAGACUUCGCAAAUAAAAUUUAGAGUUUAAAAAAUAUUUUGAUUGUGAAGCCAUUUCUCAGGGUCAUCUAUCUUAGGCCUACUCUACCUCUGAUACGUCUCUUGAGUUUAGCCACUGUCCAAAAUAUUAUAACGGGAUUAAAAGUUUUAAUCCUAUUAUAUCUUAUAUGUAAAACUAUCUGAUAUAUCACAUUUUCUCCUGCUUUAAGUCCUAACAUUCUUGUCAGGUUUAGACUCAUAAGUAUCAUGCGAUGUGAGACUUGUCUCGCUAGUCUUAACCAAGCUCGCAUCUCCGUAAGACUCGUCCCGUUAGCCUUAACCGACCUUGUGGUAGAGCUGCGCUCUAUCCACAACAGUCAUUAAUAUGAGAGACUCGCUCUUCCCGCUUUAUAAUUAUGAUUCAAAUGAGACUCAACUCACAUUUUUAGUAUAAUUUUGACUCAGCUGAGACUCAUCUCAUAUUUUCAGUAUAAUUCUGACUCAGCCGAUACUCAAAUUACAUUUUCGACUGAUAACUAGCUCUGAUAUCAAUUAUAAUACCCCACUUCUCAAGGGCCACCUAUUUUAUGACUAUUCUAACUCUAGCACGCCUAACUCUCUUAAUUAUUUGGAUCUAAUCAUCGUCUAAAAUACUAUAAUCAGGUUAAAAAUUUUAGCUCUAUUAUAUCUUAUAUAUAGAAUAUAAGGUCUCACAUAAAUGAUUUUAAAAUAAAUUUAAAAAUUUUGAACAAUAGUAAAGGGUAAAUAAGGAAAAGGA
rnacentral:lncRNA from 1 species